rnacentral:rRNA from 1 species
CUUGAACGCUAGCGGGAUUCCUUACACAUGCAAGUCUAACGGAGUGGCGAACGGGUGAGUAAUGUAUCGGAACGUGCCCCGUAGCGGGGGAUAACUACGCGAAAGCGUAGCUAAUACCGCAUACUAUUUGAGAGGACGAUAUCGGAUUUGCUAGUUGGUGGGGUAACGGCUCACCCAGGCGACGAUGCGUAGCUGGUUUGAGAGGCCGACCAGCCACACUGUGACUGAGACACGGCCCAGACUCCUACGUGAGGCAGCAGUGGGGAAUUUUGGACAAUGGGGGAAACCCUGAUCCAGCCAUCCCGCGUGGGCGAUGAAGGCCUUCGGGUUGUAAAGCACUUUUGGCAGGAAAGCGGUACCUGCAGAAUAAGCACCGGCUAACUACGUGCCAGCAGCCGCGGUAAUUC